AUUGAACGCUGGCGGCAGGCCUAACACAUGCAAGUCGAACGAGUGGCGGACGGGUGAGUAAUGUCUGGGAAACUGCCUGAUGGAGGGGGAUAACUACUGGAAACGGUAGCUAAUACCGCAUACCAUCGGAUGUGCCCCGAUGGGAUUAGCUAGUAGGUGGGGUAAAGGCUCACCUAGGCGACGAUCCCUAGCUGGUCUUAGAGGAUGACCAGCCACACUGGAACUUAGACACGGUCCAGACUCCUACGGGAGGCAGCAGUGGGGAAUAUUGCACAAUGGGCGCAAGCCUGAUGCAGCCAUGCCGCGUGUAUGAAGAAGGCCUUCGGGUUGUAAAGUACUUUCAGCGGGGAGGCGGUACCGACAGAAGAAGCACCGGCUAACUCCGUGCCAGCAGCCGCGGUAAUAC
rnacentral:rRNA from 1 species